GUGGAGACAACACAGCAGCGACUUCGGGAGGUGAAGACAUAACAACCACAGCAACCGCCGCUGGUUACUGAGUGCGUUCAACAGGCCAGGUACCGUGGCGGGCAGUGUGCAUGCAUCCGAACCUCCCCGUGGCCCUAUGACACAGGUACUUCCACUGUCCCCGCUACACAGACGUGCUGCUAAGGCUCAGGGAGCGCACACGUUUUCGCCAAAGGCCUCUCACAGGUGCAGCUGACAUAAACCCAGGCAGUCUCACUCUGAACCCUAUGAUUUUGACCAUUAAAAACGGACUUGGAACCAAGGUGAUUCCCUCUCCAGGGGGCCCUAAUAGUGCCCCUCUUCAGGAAAGCAGCAACUUGGAAUAAAAUCUGGCAUGCCUCAGCUUUUCAGGGCAGAAGGUCAUGUGCAAUUUCCUUUGCCUUCCUUUGGCUGCCUACACAUGGGUUCGGCGGCGGG